CAUCUAUUAUCUGUCCCAUGGACACUUUCUCCACUUAUUCAACAUUUAUGAGUAGGAAAUGUUUUUGUUAGAGGAAAAAAUUAUGCAAUUAAGCGGUAUGGGAUUAAGUGAAGUUUACUGUAUAAGAGUACAGAUCUAAGAAAAAGAAAUUAACAGGUAUAGCAAGAAAAAGAAAUUAACAGGUAUAGCAAGAAAGAGAAACGAACAGGUAUAGCAAGAAAAAGAAAUGAACAGGUAUAGCAAGAAAAAGAAAUGAACAGGUAUAGCAAGAAAAAGAAAAUAUAGCAGAAAAAGAAAUAGUUAAAGCAAGAAAAAGAAAAUGAACAGGUAUAGCAAGAGCAGAAGAAAUGAUAGUAUGGUAUAGAGAGAAAAAGAAAUGAACAGGUAUAUGAACAAGAAGAAAUGAAAAUGUUAACAGGUAUAGCAAGAAAGAAAAUGAACAAUAUAUAGAACAGGUAUAGCAAGAAAGAGAAAUGAACAGGUAUAGCAAGAAAGAGAAAUGAACAGGUAUAGCAAGAAAAAGAAAUGAACAGGUAUAGCAUU
rnacentral:lncRNA from 1 species